rnacentral:tRNA from 1 species
UUAAAAAUAAGCUAAUAUUAAGCUAAUGAACUCAUAAUUCAUAUAUAAAGAAUAUCUUUUUUUUAAA